CCUGGUUUCGACAUGGCUUGCAAAGCAGCGCAAAGCGUACCGAGGGCGGGCUACCUCGUAAAUACAAGCUGAAAAACUUAACUGCCAUCAAUAACUCGUACGCACUGGCAGCUUAAUCGCUGUUAGCCCUGGAACACCUCGUCCCCGGGGUGGGCCGUCAAAAGCUCCAGAGUCACCGCAGAGCUCGUCUGAUGCUGGCUUACUUGGCAUCCGACUAAAUAAUAGGUAACUCGCUUGCCCAUAAGCUGCACAGCCGUGCUGGCUGAGUUAAAUGAAAUGAUCGUGCCAAGUAGGUAGAACUGUCUGUGGAGUGCUUGCGGAUGUGGGG
rnacentral:tmRNA from 1 species